GCAGGAGGAGGAAAACUGAAGGCUGAGGCAGGACUGACUGAAGUCCUGAAGAUGAGUGUUUGUGUGGAGGAAGAAGAGGACAGAGCAGAGUGUCCAGGAUCCAGCUGUCUGUCUAUGAAGAGUGACAGGUCUAAAGAGGGAAAUCCUCCAUUGUUCAGUAAUGAACCUGGACCCUCAGACACAAAAGGUCAGGACCACAGACUGAGAGCAGAGUGUCCAGGAUCCAGCUGUCUGUCUGUGAAG